rnacentral:rRNA from 1 species
CAGUAGCCGCGGGAAUACGUAGGUGGCAAGCGUUGUCCGGAAUUAUUGGGCGUAAAGGGCUCGCAGGCGGUUUCUUAAGUCUGAUGUGAAAGCCCCCGGCUCAACCGGGGAGGGUCAUUGGAAACUGGGAAACUUGAGUGCAGAAGAGGAGAGUGGAAUUCCACGUGUAGCGGUGAAAUGCGUAGAGAUGUGGAGGAACACCAGUGGCGAAGGCGACUCUCUGGUCUGUAACUGACGCUGAGGAGCGAAAGCGUGGGGAGCGAACAGGAUUAGAUACCCGAGUAGUCCCUGUCUCUUAUAU